GACGUAGGGUGCAAGCGUUGUCCGGAUUUACUGGGCGUAAAGAGCGCGUAGGCGGUCUGUUAAGUGUAGAGUGAAAUCUCCAGGGCUCAACCCGGAAACUGCUCUGCAUACUGGCAGACUGGAGGGACUGAGAGGUGAAUGGAAUUCCUGGUGUAGCGGUGAAAUGCGUAGAUAUCAGGAAGAACACCCGUGGCGAAGGCGGCUCUCUGGGACGGUACUGACGCUGAGACGCGAAAGCGUGGGGAGCGAACAGG
rnacentral:rRNA from 1 species